CUGACCACUAGGGGGCAGUAUAUAAGUGCGGCCCGCUUUCUCGCGCCCCCGCUGAUGCAUCAUUUCCGGGUCAGGUGUCUGUCUGCGCAGGUAAUGCUCCUCGCUACUGCUGUGGUUUAGUUUUUUGUCUGCUUAUCACUGUGUCCUCAUGAUUAAAGCUGCGUGUUUUCACUGCAGAGUAGCGACCAAGUGCUCCUUGCACUGUGCUCUGUUUUGCUCUUUGGUCCUCUCGAUCGGUUGUAGAUGUCUGCCGCCGUGUGGGUCUUUCUCUCCCCCCCCUCUCCUUGUGCAGGUUUGACCUUGAAAACAGGGAAUGCUCAUCAGCUGGCCAAAACCUACAGGUGGUGAUCCAUGUGACCGCACCAUCAGUUGAUUGGGGCCGCCGCUGCUGCUUUGUCUGCUGCAUUCUCCACUAUUAAAUGCUGCCAAGUGUACAAUUUUGUCUUUGCGAGGUACCCAGCGUGUCUACUGCCGGCUGCCGCCAUCGCUGGCUGGUGGGGCUACGGUUGGCUUGCCUGGGGGAUUGCCGACACCAGAUUUGAACCAGUUUAGUUCUUUAAUCAAAGCUGAACAACUGAGUAGUUAAUCCUUUAGUUUGUAUUAUUUUGGUUUGUUUCCUGUAUUUUCUUUAUUUGUUGGGUUACAUGAAUUGUUUUGUUAGGAUGAUUUUUGUGUGAAUUAUUUUCUGUUUCAUGUUUUAGGUUGUGUUGUAUGUUUUUGAUUUAAUUCUGUUGUAACCUUUUUUUGUUUGUUUAUCCCUUCUAGCGGCUGCAGGCUGGUUGCGUGGGUGGUGGUGGUAUUCUUCGUGUGUCGUGUUCCAUUUGAUUUUGUGCCAUCACUGGGUGAACUCUUAAGUUGGUUUUAUUAAUUCUCUUGCUCCACCACUGGCCCUUCUCACCAGUGGGCCUUUAGCAUUUUAUUAGGUUUUUUUCUGAUUAUGUGACAAAUGCCAGAUUUUAUAGUAAAUUAUAUUUACCUACCUUUUAUUGAAUAAAAAUGUUUUUGUAAACGGGGAACCACGAGCCAUUGCUUAUUGAGUGGAACGAACCUGUGCGCUUUAAAGGUCUUGGGCCUAUCCCAAGUGGCGUUGUUGGAAAACUUAAAAUUCCCUGCUACCCAUUCGCGCUGCCACACUUGGCGUUGCUGGCAGGAUAAGUCUUUUAAACGGCAAGGACGUGUGUUCCCUUUGGGUUUUAGUUUUUUUUUCUCUCUGGUGUAUUACUGUUGGUUUUCUUGUAGGCAUUUGGGAGAGUUUAAAGAGACAAAGCAGCAGUGGUUUCCAGUGGAUCUUCAUGCCAAUUCUGGGGAGACUUGGUAGAGCAGGUUAGACGUAGGUGGCUGUUUCUGAGUUUUACUGUAGCCAUGGAGGAAGAGUUACAGGAACUUAAAACUCUGAUAACCCAGUUAAAGGCUGAUAAUGGGCGGUUACGACAGGAACGGGCUGGCUUUGGUGCCUUACCGUCUACCUCUGUUGUGUCACCCACUGCCCCACCCACUUCCAGCAUCCCUGUAGCAGAUAGGAUGGUGUUUGUACCCCGUGAUAGGAAGUGUCCUGUUUUUAGGGGAAGAACAGCUAUUGAGUGAGUGGAGAGAGGAAAUAGAGGCGUGUAUGAG